CAGCCACCAGACACCUGCAUCUACCAACAGGACCGGGAACAGAAAGAGACAGAGGGGGCGAAUUUUGAAAGUCUCAAAGCCGACACCACCCGGGCUGGCUACCUGGAAGGUAAGUUCCGGAAACGUGCCAUGGGUGUGGGGAGCAGGUAGGAAUCUUAGUUUUAAUGCGUGUGUGUGUGUGUGUGUGUGUGUGUGUGUGUGCAAGCGCGCGCGCGCGCGCCUGCGCGUGUGCCCGCCCCCGUUUGCCAUUCUAAAGCUACCCAGAACCGGAGGGAAAGAAAUGAGGGGAUUCCUAAGAGUCAGAAGAACAGAGACCGAGGGGUGUGAAAGAAGCCAGGGAGGAAAAGGUGGAAGCGAGGCAAGUUUUCUGCUGCGCCGAGGUCGAGGACAGCUCUCCGCCCACCGCGGGAGGGAAUCGCCCCGCGCUUCAGCACCGGGGCUCCGGACAGCGCCCCCAGUCCCCGCACCGGUGCCAUUCGACUCAGGACCCUGGACAGCGCCCCUGGUGAAGGCUCGGCCUUCCUCCCUGAUUUGGUGGUAGAGGGUGCAAGGGAGAGGUUGCGCUGAAUUGCCUGAUGUUUCUGAAGAUUCGCUUCCUCUCUUAAGGGGUUUUAAAAAUGAAUUAUUUUCCAGAGAAGGAGGUGAUAUCCUGAAGUCUGCGAUUGCUAACAGGUAAAAAGGCCAGUUGGGGGAACCGGUGCCUGCCAAGUGGACGUUACUGUGUCCUUUCCAGACUUCAGUGAGAAGCCCUGUGCCAAGCGUUUCAUGCACAUUACACCGUGCUGUCCCCAACUCUGUGACAUGGGCUCACUACACUGGGAUGACAGUUGAAGGAGCUGGGGAUCUCCCAAGGGCUCUCGGCCCAAGAAGAACUUGUAACAGCUCCACAUCCGUCCACCACCAAGUCCCAAAUUUCUGAUGUGCCUUGGUGGGAGCUGACUCCUUGGGGGUCUCACCGUGCCUCUCUCCAGUGGCACCAAGAACGGGAAACAGGAAGCAAUGCAGAGACAGGACGUCCAUACAUCCAGCUGGGCUCAGACGCCCCCACAGGACAAGUGUGCAUUGUCCAUUCGCACCCCCUGUGACUCCUGAGUCCAGUCACUGACACCGCAUGGAAUUCUCGCAGCAUCCAGGCCUUCGUCUUGCUGUCAUCUCGGCUAGGAAGGAACUGUCCCCUCCCUCCCAGAGCUCCACAGGGCAGUCUCUGCCCUGGUGCCCCUUCAGCCCCAGGGUCAAGUGUGUUUCUUUACAUUCCCACAGACCUGGGACAUCAGGGCUCUGGUGUGAAUUCCUGUCAUGCUCGUGGAUCUGGUCCCCAUUACUCUGUGAGCUCCCUGCUCUGUCCCCAGUGCCCAGCCUGAGGCCUGGCACCCAGCAGGUGCUCAAUAUAUGCUUGUUGAAUCAAUAAAGGCAUCCAGGACUAAACCAAUAUGCCAAUCAAU